UUUAAAAACUAUGAAAUCAAAUUGAAAAGAGAUUUACAUAAAAGAUGGAGGUCUUAAAAUUUCUCAGAUAAUUUGAAUAAGCCUUCAAAUAAUCACCAGAUUCAGUGUAUGAUAUUCCUACUUAAGCUUAUUUUCUAGUAACUAUCCCUGGUAAUUUGAAAUAAUGAUCUACUGAAAGGGGCAAAGGAGAAAAAAAAAUAGACUCUAGAGUUUUGUCUAUGAAGGAUCUUUAUGAUUGGCUUAUUAGCACAUGAAAUUGACUUGAAAGAAAUACAUCCAAAGUCUAUUAAGUUUUUGAGGAAAUUGUUUUUUCAAUUUCCUCAAAAUUCUCCUGAGCUAGGAGAACUCCUCCUAGCUCAAAAAACUCCUGAGCUACGAGGAAAAAUGCACUCAAAACAAUCCUCUGGCUCCUACAUUUUCAUAAGAAAGAAACAACCAGUGUAAGAUGGAUAGUUCCCAAGGGUAAAGAACAAGCAAGUGUUUCCCAGGGAGCAGAACCUGAGGUCAUGGAGAACAAUAAACAAGGAAGUAACUUUUGGUCAGGAAUGUGGGUCUCAUUAAAGAACUUUCCCCACAGUAGAGCAAAUCAGGUGUGUCUCAGUAGGGGUGCUUUGUAAGACCUAUCCAGCAGGAUUGUAUGGUUAUUAUUAAGAGGGGUGUGUUCCGUGUUCUUUUUUCCCUUUCUUAAAUGUUACUUUUCUGCUAUAGUUAUCUUAUCCCUGCUCUACCACUGACAACAUACGUAAGACUGAUUGUUUUUAUAUCAUGCUUUGCAGGACCACAACAACCACUCCCAGUCAUGAUGGAGAGGAGUGUUCAAUACCCACAGAUCCUGAAUUUUGAGCUGAUUAUACUAAAUAGAUGGGACUUAGUUUUGUCUGCCAUGGGGUGAGCAUAUACUACCUGAGGGAACAGUGGAAUGGAGAAGACUGCCAGAGAAGUCUUAGAUGGCAUAGGGUGAAGAUGGCAGAGUAUCUGUUGGCCAUUUGGAGGAGGAUUGUUCUCUGAUCUGUUUACUCUUGUAAACAAGCAAUACAUUUCCAAUAUGUGCUAUUUCAUAUUUUGAGUUCAUUUGUUGCAGUAGCUAGUUGAUCUUGCCAAAUAAAAGCAAGAUUAUUGAAGAAGUAACAGUAAAUACAUGUAUUAAUGAAUUUAUCCUGAAUGAAACAUCAUUUACUUCUAGCUUUACAUUAUUGUUUGUAAUCAAUUUUAUAAUAAUACUGUUAUAACUAUGUGGUCCUAAUUCAAUGUUCAAAUCGCCCAAAUUAUUUUUUAUGGUGAAAAUAGUAAGUUUUAACUGAAAUAAUUAAAUUCAACAUAAAAACUGCUAAAUAAAGGAAUAUUUCUGGCUUAUGUCAUGAUCUAUUAAAGUGCAUUUUAUAUCAUCAGGAA